GAUGAAGAACGUAGCGAAAUGCGAUAAGUAAUGUGAAUUGCAGAAUUCCGUGAAUCAUCGAAUCUUUGAACGCACAUUGCGCCCCUCGGUAUUCCGGGGGGCAUGCCUGUCCGAGCGUCAUUGCUGCCCUCAAGCACGGCUUGUGUGUUGGGCCUCCGUCCUCCUCCCGGGGGACGGGCCCGAAAGGCAGCGGCGGCACCGCGUCCGGUCCUCGAGCGUAUGGGGCUUCGUCACCCGCUCUUGUAGGCCCGGCCGGCGCUUGCCGACACAUCAAUCUUUUUUCCAGGUUGACCUCGGAUCAGGUAGGGAUACCCGCUGAACUUAAGCAUAUCAAUAAGCGGAGGA
rnacentral:misc_RNA from 1 species